rnacentral:rRNA from 1 species
GACGAACGCUGGCGGCGUGCCUAAUACAUGCAAGUCGAACGCAGUGGGGACGGGUGAGUAACACGUGGGUAACCUCCCAUCAGAGGGGAUAACACUUGGAAACAGGUGCUAAACCGAUACUGUUGGGUGGUCCCGCGGUGCAUUAGCUAGUUGGUGAGCUAACGGCGCACCAGGGGCACGAUGCAUAGCCGACCUGAGAGGGUGAUCGGCCAAACUGGGACUGAGACACGGCCCAGACUCCUACGGGGGGCAGCAGUGGGGAAGCUUCGGAAAUGGACGAAAGUCGGACCGAGCAACGCCGCGUGAGUGAAGAAGGUUUUCGGAUCGUAAAACACUGUUGUUGGGGAGGCGGUAUCUAACCAGAAAGCCACGGCUAACUACGUGCCAGCAGCCGCGGUAAUAC